rnacentral:lncRNA from 1 species
CUUCAAAAAUUCAUCUAUGAUUUAAUGGCCGGAAAAUAAAUGACAACGAAAGUUGAUGAAGAUGAUAACAACAUGACGUUGGUGAAGAUUAUAAUAGGUAAAAUUUAUUUUAGAUUUAUAUAUUUUUUUAGAUUUGAUGUUAUUUUAGAUUUAAAUAUGUUUAAGAAUUCAUAUUUUAGAUUCAUAUCUAUUUUGUCUGAGAGCUAACCCAUUUUGUUCUUUUAAGAAAUUUAAUUGCUCAUAUAGUUCAGAUUAAAUUAUGCUACUCUAAGAAAAACUUUCCUGUGAAUUAUAUUUUCUUUUUCAGAAGUUAUGGGACCAAAGAAGGAAGGUAGGAAUGCUACUUAAGUCUUUGUGGCCACUAAUGAAUUGGCGCCUUGUAAUUAAUCGAAAUUAACAAUAUUAGUGUAGUAAUCAAUAAAUUAUCUAAUUAACAUAUGGGUUUAGAGAUAGCAUAGCACCCACACAUUUGUUAGGCGGUUGAUGAGGGCGGUUAAUUAAGAAUAGUUUUGGCGGUUGGAAGGUUCUAAUUCAUAAGCACAAAGUCAUACUAAUUAAGGCCUUUGAGGGGGAUGGAGGGUGGGGGUUAGUUUUUGGUGUAGGUGUUAUAUCAAAGUUAAUCAGAUCUUUUUAG